GACGAACGCUGGCGGCGUGCCUAAUACAUGCAAGUUGAGCGCUGAAGGUUGGUACUUGUACCAACUGGAUGAGCAGCGAACGGGUGAGUAACGCGUGGGGAAUCUGCCUUUGAGCGGGGGACAACAUUUGGAAACGAAUGCUAAUACCGCAUAAAAACUUUAAACACAAGUUUUAAGUUUGAAAGAUGCAAUUGCAUCACUCAAAGAUGAUCCCGCGUUGUAUUAGCUAGUUGGUGAGGUAAAGGCUCACCAAGGCGAUGAUACAUAGCCGACCUGAGAGGGUGAUCGGCCACAUUGGGACUGAGACACGGCCCAAACUCCUACGGGAGGCAGCAGUAGGGAAUCUUCGGCAAUGGACGAAAGUCUGACCGAGCAACGCCGCGUGAGUGAAGAAGGGUUUCGGAUCGUAAAACUCGGUUGGCAGAGAAGAACGUUGGUGAGAGUGGAAAGCUCAUCAAGUGACGGUAACUACCCAGAAAGGGACGGCUAACUACGUG
rnacentral:rRNA from 1 species